rnacentral:rRNA from 1 species
GCGCACGGGUGAGUAACGCGUAUCCAACCUUUCCCCUGAGUUAGGGAAUAGCCCGGCGAAAGUCGGAUUAAUGCCCUAUGCUGUCCGACGAUAGCAUUUGAAUCGGACGAAAGAUUUAUCGCUCAGGGAUGGGGAUGCGUCUGAUUAGGUUGCAGGCGGGGUAACGGCCCACCUGGCCGACGAUCAGUAGGGGUUCUGAGAGGAAGGUCCCCCACAUUGGAACUGAGACACGGUCCAAACUCCUACGGGAGGCAGCAGUGAGGAAUAUUGGUCAAUGGGCGAGAGCCUGAACCAGCCAAGUAGCGUGCAGGAUGACGGCCCUAUGGGUUGUAAACUGCUUUUAUGCGGGGAUAAAGUUCACUACGUGUAGUGUUUUGUAGGUACCGCAUGAAUAAGGACCGGCUAAUUCCGUGCCAGCAGCCGCGGUAAUACGGAAGGUCCGGGCGUUAUCCGGAUUUAUUGGGUUUAAAGGGAGCGCAGGCCGGAGGUCAAGCGUGACGUGAAAUGUAGCCGCUCAACGGCUGAACUGCGUCGCGAACUGGCUUUCUUGAGUGAGUUCGAUGUGGGCGGAAUUCGUGGUGUAGCGGUGAAAUGCUUAGAUAUCACGAAGAACUCCGAUUGCGAAGGCAGCCCACAAGGCCUUUACUGACGCUAAAGCUCGAAGGUGCGGGUAUCGAACAGGAUUAGAUACCCUGGUAGUCCGCACGGUAAACGAUGGAUGCCCGCUGUUUUGCGAUAUAAUGUGAGCGGCCAAGAGAAAUCGUUAAGCAUCCCACCUGGGGAGUACGCCGGCAACGGUGAAACUCAAAGGAAUUGACGGGGGCCCGCACAAGCGGAGGAACAUGUGGUUUAAUUCGAUGAUACGCGAGGAACCUUACCCGGGCUUGAACUGCAGGAGAAGGAUACAGAGAUGUUGACGCCCUUCGGGGCUCCUGUGGAGGUGCUGCAUGGUUGUCGUCAGCUCGUGCCGUGAGGUGUCGGCUUAAGUGCCAUAACGAGCGCAACCCUUUUCUUCAGUUGCCAUCAGGUGAUGCUGGGCACUCUGGAGACACUGCCACCGUAAGGUGUGAGGAAGGUGGGGAUGACGCCAAAUCAGCACGGCCCUUACGUCCGGGGCUACACACGUGUUACAAUGGGUGGUACAGAGAGUCGGUCGUCUGCAAAUGCGAUCCAAUCCUUAAAGCCAUCCUCAGUUCGGAUUGGGGUCUGCAACCCGACCCCAUGAAGCUGGAUUCGCUAGUAAUCGCGCAUCAGCCAUGGCGCGGUGAAUACGAAGCCGGGCCUUGCACACACCGCCCGUCAAG